rfam:Acyrthosiphon pisum strain LSR1 Contig2963, whole genome shotgun sequence.
CUUCGUGCGCGUCCCGAUCGCGGCCCGCGCAAAGACCUGGUGACUCUGAAUAACUUCGAGCUGAUCGCACGGUCUCCGUACCGGCGACGCAUCUUUCAAAUGUCUGCCUUAUCAACUGUCGAUGGUAGGUUCCAUGCCUACCAUGGUGGUAACGGGUAACGGGGAAUCAGGGUUCGAUUCCGGAGAGGGAGCCUGAGAAACGGCUACCACAUCCAAGGAAGGCAGCAGGCGCGCAAAUUACCCACUCCCGGAACGGGGAGGUAGUGACGAAAAAUAACGAUACGGGACUCAUCCGAGGCCCCGUAAUCGGAAUGAGAACACUUUAAAACCUUUAAACGAGGAUCAAUUGGAGGGCAAGUCUGGUGCCAGCAGCCGCGGUAAUUCCAGCUCCAAUAGCGUAUAUUAAAGUUGUUGCGGUUAAAAAGCUCGUAGUCGGAUCUGUGUCUGGACGGUGCCGGACCACCCUGGCGGUCCGUCGUGUCGCGGCCGGCCGUGUCGCGGGACCACGUGUCCCGUCGGCGCGGUCGCCGUCGCGCUCGUCAGCCGUCUCGGGGUGUUAGUUACCGGCACGUCGGCCGGACGUAUUGUCGGCAGGCGGACACGUGUCUCGUGCUUCCGGCGCGCCGCGCGGCCACGCGUCGCGCGGCCGUCGGUGUUCGACGACGGCGGCCGCCUACUCCAAUCUUGCUGCGCGGUGCUCUUCACCGAGUGCCGUCGGCGGGCCGACACGUUUACUUUGAACAAAUUAGAGUGCUCAAGCAGGCUCGAAUCUGGCGGGGCGGCUUCACGGCCGUCUCGUCAAAAGGCCCUGAAUACUGGUCGCAUGGAAUAAUGGAACAAGACCUCGGUCCCGCGCAUCUCCGCCCUUCGCGGGCGCGCGAAAUCGCCCUCCGGGGCGUUUCCGUGCGCGGGCCGCCGGGCCGCGGGCGCCAGUCGCCCGCGCGUCCCGCCGGGCCGGUUUUCGGGACCGGAGGUAAUGAUCAACAGAGACGGGCGGGGGCAUUCGUACCGAGACGUUAGAGGUGAAAUUCUUGGAUCGUCUCGAGACGAACUGACGCGAAAGCAUUUGCCAAGUACGUUCUCGUAUGAUCAAGAACGAAAGUUAGAGGUUCGAAGGCGAUCAGAUACCGCCCUAGUUCUAACUGUAAACGAUGCCAGCUAGCGAUCCGCCGGCGUUUCAUUAACGACCCGGCGGGCAGCUUCCGGGAAACCGAAGCUUUUCGGUUCCGGGGGAAGUAUGAUUGCAAAGUUGAAACUUAAAGGAAUUGACGGAAGGGCACCACCAGGAGUGGAGCCUGCGGCUUAAUUUGACUCAACACGGGAAACCUCACCAGGCCCGGACACCGGAAAGAUUGACAGAUUGAGAGCUCUUUCUUGAUUCGGUGGGUGGUGGUGCAUGGCCGUUCUUAGUUGGUGGAGCGAUCUGUCUGGUUAAUUCCGAUAACGAACGAGACUCUGUCCUGCUAACUAGGCGGGUAAACCCGGGUCGGCGUGUGCGCGGCGCUGGCGGUUUCGGCCGUCAGUGUUCGCGUACCCGUCGGCUCGGCCCGGGUAUCCCCGAACGCGUUCGCCC